GAAACAGAGAUUCUGGGUUACUAGCAAGUGACGGCGUGAGCCCAGGAGGAGCUGGAGAGAGUGGCAAGCUUGAGUGACAGCCCCAUGCCUGCCCGCUGUACCAAGCCCAGUGUACAAUACCUUGCUCUUCUAAGAUCCCGUUAGGCAUUUUCUUGUCGUUGCUGCUGACCACGGCCUUCCUCUGCUUCCGGAACCUUAAAGGCACACACAAGAUGUGUUAGGUCUCAGCACCGCGGGAACCCCCAAGCCCUGAGUGUGGUGAUACCCACCAGGAGCUGGUGAGAGCACGUCAGCGCCUGGGGACACUCCUACCUGAAGAAGUAGGCUGCAAGCAGGAAUAGGAGGAGAAGCAGAGGCAGCAGCAGCCAGGGUGCCCUCCUAUCACCACAAAGCUCCCAGCCAAAAGGCCCCAUCAAAAGCCUGCUUCUCCAGUGAAUGAGUGUGGCUCCUGUGAACUGGUCCAGAGGAGCUAUGAUCUGCAGCUGGUGAGCACAUGCUAUCAGGAGUGAGCCGGUCUCCCAUGGGAGGCCCUGGAGGGACACCACCAUGCCUGUAGGAAAUUAGUCUUUGGUCUGAAAACCUUGUGAAGCCCUUGAGAGGGGUGAAAGUUGAACCUCUGACCCACUGGGAAGGCACCAACUCCCACUGACUUUUUCUAAGAAGCUUUUCGAAAAAUCUCAUGGCACUGAUAGAAGAGACUGCCGAUUAUGUAAGGGAACGGCGAUGGUGAUGUUCGUUCACUGGGAAAGGAACUCUCAUUAUUCUCCAUGCUAGUCAGCCUUCCGAGGCUGUGACAAGACACACGAGGAAAACAACCUAGGGAGAGCUUCACCCCAAACACCCUACCGGGUUUUGAACCCAUCGGUGGAUUGAUUAAUCAACCAAUGAGAGCUCUUAUGACUCUACGUGUAGCCCAUGGGGCUGGACCCAGACCUUCAUGAGUGUUGGGGGGGGGGGUGUCAUGUUUAAGCCAUAACGGUUUUGGCUCUCACUGCUAGUGUAUCUUCAUAUUAAUAAGAAUGUCCAGAUAUGAACAUUCUUUGAACUUAUGCCAACAAGAGGUGUAGCUUUGCACACAAGGUGUAGCUUUGCACACGAGGUGUGGCUUUGCACACGAGGUGUGGCUUUGCAUUGAAGGUGCUCUUGCUCCAACACACUUGUUUCCCAAGUCCCUUGCUCACUUGGCUCUCCUGAGCAGCUGCCUCACUAUCACCUGCACUGGCAUCUCACCAGCCUCCUGAGCCCCUCACCAUACCAUGGAUGCCCCGUUCUUCAUAUCAGCCCUCUGCACUAUGCAGAUCACCCUGACUUGAUCAUUGAUGGCAGCUAUCCAUCUGUCUCCCACUCCUUGGGCUCCCUGUCAGCAGCUCCUUUUUGCAUUUGAAUGUGUGGUUCUGUGAGUCAGAGCCACCUGGUUGUCUUGUGUUAGCUACACAGGUGGCUGGAGGAGAAAGAAAGGCCGGGUCCCAACAGGACUUAGUAAAAUUGUCAGAAGAUGGGGAAGCAGGUUAUCUGUAGCUGGGGAGCCAGUGUGCUUGGAGGGGCAAGAUGAAUAUGUGCUGUUCCUUCGGGCCGCUGGUCCUCAUGCUGCAGACAAUCCCUUCUCUGAACCUGCAUUAUGAGAGACCCAAGAAUACAGCCCCCAAGCUAAGCUGUGGGGUUCUGCUUUGGGGGGACAAGAAGGCGUGAGAGGCAGUUCCCCUACUUUCACGAGUCUGCAAGUAGCCCUGGCCCUGCUCCAUUUCCCCUCUGGUCACAUCCUGUGUUCUGUUCAGAAAGCACCGUUCAGGGAACUGGCAUGCCAGCUGCACCUGGGGUGCUGGCAAGAGACAGCUGUGCAAUGCGGGCAGUGUUUUGGGAGCCCUCCAGGUACAGACACUUUCAAUGGAAGAGUCAGGGAAAGAUCACUUCCUCCCCCUCAUGACUUUUAUUUGACUUUAUCUGGACAAUAAAUCAGCUAGUGACGCCCUUCGAUCAAGAUCCAUAAAUAAACCAACACUCCCAUUACUGCUUCCAAGGGAGACUCACGAGCAUUUCGACAGACUAAUGUUCUCUAUGCUGAAAUCGGCUUCUGUCAUCUCAGAAUAAUUGCCUCAGCAAACAUGCCCAUCACCUCGGCACCCAGCUCUACCAGUGCCCAGUAACUAAAUGUGUGUGUGAAGGCCGGAAGAAGGUGUCUGAGUCCCCUGGAGCUGGAGUUGUAAGAGGCUGUGAACUGCCCAACAGAGUGCUGGGAACCAAAUUCAGGUCCUCUGCAGGAGCAAGAGUAAGAUCUCUUAACCACUGGGCAUCUCUUCAUCCCCUUCUGUCUCCUUUUCCUUUCCUUUCCUUUCCUUUAUUCCUUUCUCCCUCUCCUGUCUCCAUUCGGGGACUUCCUAAAGGCCAGCGAGAGCCUCUAAUUACAUAUCUAAUGACAAAUCUCACCACUUCUACCUCCUGCCUAGUUCAUCUGUCAGACCCACUAUCCCCAGGGAAUGGUUGUCAUCAGCAGAGGUUCCAGCCAACUCUGCUUAGCUUCCAGAAGUAGCAAGAACCAUCUGCACGAACAGAGCCACAGACUAUGGAGCCCGGUUGGGUCAAUGAAACCUGUUUUAAUUGGACCACAAGCCAGGAGAUUUAAGCGACAGAGAUGACAGGGAUGUGACUUACAGCUAGAGGCUGCUGCACAGACAUCAUCGAUCUACCUGCCUGCUGCAAAGCUUUGUGGGAAGAAAUCACACCCAAGGAACCCAGCACCACCAGGAAGCAGCCUGGUGAUUCCCACCCAAUUGAGACCAAGAGGAAACAGGCUGGGGAGUUUCCUUGUGCCCUCAUGUAGGGCUCAAUGGACUGACUUAUCCCCUCCAUAGCCACUAGGAGUAGAAAGUUCUAGAAAGCAUAUUCUAGAGGUGAAGGGAUGAGCAUUAUUUUCUGUGACAGUGACUUGAGCAGCUUAUCAAAGUUCUCAGGGAAACAGUGUGCCCUCAUGAUAGGUGUUCGGGUGAUAAGAGAGACAUGCUUUUGUCAAAAAUCCAUCAAACCUUAGGCUUGAGGUCUGUGCAUAUUUGCCCUUAUUAUGUAAUUCCACCUUUAGAAGAGGGCUGCUUUCAGAACACAGUGGAAAACGGGGCAUGUAGCUCAGUGGGCAGAAUGCUGGUAGCAUCCAUGAGAUCCUGGGUACCAUCUACGGCAUGAGAUAGAAGAUCAGUGAGGCCACAUGCACACCUGUAACCCAGGCACUCCGGAGGUGGCAGCAAGCGGGUCCGCAGCUCAAGGUCAUCCUUGGCUAUGUAGCACAUUCAGGGUCCCAAGGCAGGCCGAGUUACAAGAAACUCCAGCUCAAAAACAAAGAGACCAAAGCCAGUGCCUGGCUCCCUUCUAGGCAGCAGGUUCCAAUGUGUAGCUUCUAUACUAUGGUGUAUUCUCAGUCAUAGAUCAGCACCCUGACACCCUCCAUGCCAGGUAGGGAAACAGCUCUCUGUGUGUCUUGAAGGGGCCAAGGCUACAGGCAGAAAAGGUGCUAUCCAAAUGCUACUGGUAUGAAUUCAUUACUGUGACUCUAUCUUGCCCCGCUGGUGGGCUGCACUAAACCUUUAGUGGAGAUUGUC
ensembl:lincRNA 5830432E09Rik RIKEN cDNA 5830432E09 gene